GUCUCCCCACCGCCGUAGUCUUCCCACGGCGGAGAGAGAAAAAGGGUGACGCUAUGGCCAGGAAAGAAGAGCGAUAGAGAGAGAGAGAAAAAAAAGAUCUUCGUCUACUGCUCCCCUGCCUGCAGCGCGCUUCCUAGGCCGGAGCCGGCGCGAGCGCUGGGCUGGGCGGGAACGCGGGAUCUGGGAGACGGAUCCGACGAAGCCGAAGGCGGGGCUCGAGAAGCGGCGGCCGUGCCGGCGCCGGUGAAGAAGAAGCGAAAUCUGCCCAGGACGCUAGCUUCAAGCAUAAAAGGAGCUCAACAUGGAUCCUUGACGACAGCGGCCCACCAGCGGUGGCAAGUUUCAGCGAUUUCCACAUCUGCGAGGCAGCUGCAGGUGCGGCAGCAAGAACAAGACCGAGCAGUUAUAAUGACGCACAAGCCAUGAGCGAGACCAUAAUAUUUGUAUUUGGCGAUUUGUGAUAUCUGUGGCUAGGCCUAUCUGUGGCUAAUCAUCUUUGUGUUGGUUUUGAUAUUGGACUUCUUUUAUUACUUGAUGUGUGAAUUACAUUGUGGUCGAUCUGGUUCGUGCUUGAUUUUCUGAUGCAAUGGGCAGUGCGGGAGGGGCACGUUGCUAGUGCCAUGCUUUUUCUUUGAUGAGUUUGAAAUAUAUUCUUCCUGCGGCUGUGA